AGUACAAUUGCUGGAUCAUAUGGUAAGAAUAUGUUUCAUUUUGUAAGAAACUUGCAGACUGUUUUCCAAAGUGGCUUUACUAUUUUGCAUUUUCAUUUCCACCAGCAGU
rnacentral:pre_miRNA from 1 species